rnacentral:rRNA from 1 species
AUUGAACGCUGGCGGCAUGCUUUACACAUGCAAGUCGAACGGUAACAGGCCGCAAGGUGCUGACGAGUGGCGAACGGGUGAGUAAUGCAUCGGAACGUGCCCAGUCGUGGGGGAUAACGCAGCGAAAGCUGCGCUAAUACCGCAUACGAUCUAUGGAUGAAAGCGGGGGACCGUAAGGCCUCGCGCGAUUGGAGCGGCCGAUGUCAGAUUAGGUAGUUGGUGAGGUAAAGGCUCACCAAGCCAACGAUCUGUAGCUGGUCUGAGAGGACGACCAGCCACACUGGGACUGAGACACGGCCCAGACUCCUACGGGAGGCAGCAGUGGGGAAUUUUGGACAAUGGGCGCAAGCCUGAUCCAGCAAUGCCGCGUGCAGGAAGAAGGCCUUCGGGUUGUAAACUGCUUUUGUACGGAAUGAAACGGCUCUCACUAAUACUGGGGGCUAAUGACGGUACCGUAAGAAUAAGCACCGGCUAACUACGUGCCAGCAGCCGCAGUAAGAC